GACGAACCGUGCGAACGUUAUUCGGAAUCACUGGGCUUAAAGCGCGUGUAGGCGGGCCGGCACGUCGGUCGCUGAAAUCCCGCGGCUCAACCGCGGAACGGGCGCCGAUACGACCGGCCUGGAGGGGGGUAGGGGGAGCCGGAACUUCCGGUGGAGCGGUGAAAUGCGUUGAGAUCGGAAGGAACGCCCGUGGCGAAAGCGGGCUCCUGGACCCCGCCUGACGCUGAGACGCGAAAGCCAGGGGAGCGAA
rnacentral:rRNA from 1 species